GAUGAACGCUGGCGGCGUGCCUAACACAUGCAAGUCGAACGAAGAGACGAGGAGCUUGCUUUUUUGCUAUUUGCGGCGCGCGGGUGUGUGACACGUGUAAACACCCCGUAUAUGAGUGGGAUAAAUUAGGGAGACAGGAGCUCAUACCGGAUAAUCUUUUGAACCGCGUGGUUGAAGAGUGAAAGACGGUGUUGCUGUCACGUAUGGAUGCAUCUGCGCUGCAUUAGCUAGUUGGUAAGGUAACGGCUUACCAAGGCAACGAUGCAUAGCCGACCUGAGAGGAUGAUCGGCCACAUUGGAACUGAGACACGGCCCAGACUCCUACGGGAGGCAGCAGUAGGGAAUCUUCCGCAAUGGGCGAAAGUCUGACGGAGCAACGCCGCGUGAGUGAUGACGGCCUUCGGAUCGUAAAACUCUGUUAUUAGGGAAGAAAGGCUUUCUAAGGAACUGUGCACAGCUUGACGGUAACCAGUCAAAAAGCCACGGCUAACUACGUG
rnacentral:rRNA from 1 species